rnacentral:rRNA from 1 species
GACGAACGCUGGCGGCGUGCCUAAUACAUGCAAGUAGAACGCACAGUUUAUACCGUAGCUUGCUACACCAUAGACUGUGAGUUGCGAACGGGUGAGUAACGCGUAGGUAACCUGCCUGGUAGCGGGGGAUAACUAUUGGAAACGAUAGCUAAUACCGCAUAAUAUUGAUUAUUGCAUGAUAAUUAAUUGAAAGGUGCAAUUGCACCACUACCAGAUGGACCUGCGUUGUAUUAGCUAGUAGGUGAGGUAACGGCUCACCUAGGCGACGAUACAUAGCCGACCUGAGAGGGUGAUCGGCCACACUGGGACGGAGACACGGCCCAGACUCCUACGGGAGGCAGCAGUAGGGAAUCUUCGGCAAUGGACGAAAGUCUGACCGAGCAACGCCGCGGGAGUGAAGAAGGUUGUCGGAUCGUAAAGCUCGGUUGUAAGAGAAGAACGGGUGUGAGAGUGGAAAGUUCACACUGUGACGGUAUCUUACCAGAAAGGGACGGCUAACUACGUG